rnacentral:rRNA from 1 species
UCGAUCCCGCUCAUCUCCACCACGGAGAAGGGACACGGCCGGAGAGAAAGAGAUCCGGCGGAGAAGGAAGUCAGCCCUGGAGACAGGGAAGAAAGACUUCGAUCAUUGACAACUGAAUCGGCAGAAAUACAAGAAGAGGGCAACGCAGGACCGGGGGAACCCGGAGAAUGCGAGUCAACAAGCUUUUUGGAGCAAGGGCGAAGAGUAAGCGUUCAAGUGACAAAGGGCAGACGGGGAAUGCCUAGGCAGCAGAAGGCGAAGAAGGACGUGGCGAGCUGCGAAAAGCUUCGGGGAGCCGCUCACAGGCGUUGAUCCGGAGGAAUCCGAAUGGGGGAACCCCACGUGGGGGAAUGCCCAGUGAGCCUUGCCUGAAUUCAUAGGGCAAGGCGGCAAACCCGGGG